rnacentral:lncRNA from 1 species
AGAAAUUAAACUGAAGAGAGAAAUAGCUAUCUAGGUCUUUAGACUGGAAAAUAAAAAUAAACACGUGUAAUCAGAUUUGAAAUCCCCAAAUGAGAUUUUUAAGGGUGUUCUGGGAGGCUCUAGGUACGUUUAGUUUCCGUGUCCUGGGUAAGCCAUAUAAACUGUUUAUAUAAUAUAAUAUGUUUAUAUAUAAACAUAUGUUUAUAUAUAAACAUAUGUUUAUAUAUAAACAUGUUUAUAUAUAAACAUAUAAUAUGUUUAAUAUAAACAUAUUAAACUGAUUAAGUCACUAAUUAUGGUGCCUUAGGAUUUUCCUUGAAGGUCCAGGGCUUUGGACACUGACACUCCACUUCUACCAGAACAGCUUUGCUUUUAUUUGGUUAAUAUAGCAGGAAUCUGCUUAAGAUUUCACUGAGGAAACAGAAUUAUAGCACCACCUAUAGUCUGGCAAUGUGCUAUGAACUAAAAAAUGAAUCUCAAGAAUAGUGGGGAAGACAGAAAAGUGAAUUACAGUACAGUGUCAGGAAAAAAACCAUGAAGGGACAGUAAAGAAAGUCCAGUGAACUCCGAAGGGUCAAGGGAACAAGGAAGGUUUCCUGGAGUCUGUAACUGAAAAGGGAGGUAAGGAAGCUCAGAGAAUACUGCCGUUGCCCAAAGGAGGGAAGAGGAACGCAACAGUUACGCAACUCUGAAACGGGCGAAGUCUCCUGGAACGAACGAGGUUACAGAUCCGCGGACUAGGAUGGGCGCUAAAGUGAUUUCACGUGAUAGGCAAAGACCUACUUAAGCCAGCCUCUAGCUUUGCUCCGCCCCCAUCCCAUCUCAUCCUCCGUCAAAGGGGCGUGGCAUUUAAACAAAUGCACUCAGCUGGGAGGGUAUCCCAACCCUGAGGCCCGCGUCACCAGCGCGGGCGGGCGGCUGCGGAGUCUCCCAGAAAAGCUGGUAUCUCCCAGAGUGGUCUGGUUCGGGCUCCCCAGCCCCGGAGGGGCGGCUAAGAAGAAGGCGCUCACUGGUUGCUAUAGCGGCGAUCUAAGAGGCUGGGGAAAGUUGAUUGGCCGCAGAAUUGUUUGUUUCCUCAAAAAUGUCUCCUAUGGAGAGUGGGUCACUGCAUAAAUGAAAAAUAUUAAUUAGGACAUUUAUAUUUUUAAGUGUCUGUAAUCCUCAUGUUGGAUCAUCAAAAAAGUGAGACAGUUCCAGAAAAAUAUCUACUUCUGCUUUAUUGACUAUGCCAAAGACUGACUGUGUGGAUCACAACAAACUGUGUAAAAUUCUUAAAGAAAUGGAAAUACCAGACCACCUGAC